rnacentral:rRNA from 1 species
ACGAACGCUGGCGGCGUGCUUCACCCCUGCCAGUCGCACGCUGAAGCUUGGUGCUUGCACUGGGUGGAUGAGUGGCGAACGGGUGAGUAAUACGUGAGUAACCUGCCCUUGACUCUGGGAUAAGCCUGGGAAACUGGGUCCAAUACUGGAUACGACAUGUCACCGCAUGGUGGUGUGUGGAAAGGGUUUUACUGGUUUUGGAUGGGCUCACGGCCUAUCAGCUUGUUGGUGGGGUAAUGGCUCACCAAGGCGACGACGGGUAGCCGGCCUGAGAGGGUGACCGGCCACACUGGGACUGAGACACGGCCCAGACUCCUACGGGAGGCAGCAGUGGGGAAUAUUGCACAAUGGGCGGAAGCCUGAUGCAGCGACGCCGCGUGAGGGAUGACGGCCUUCGGGUUGUAAACCUCUUUCAGCACGGAAGAAGCGAAAGUGACGGUACGUGCAGAAGAAGCGCCGGCUAACUACGUG